CCCUUUGGGUGUGACUGCGUACCUUUUGUAUAAUGGGUCAGCGACUUAUAUUCUGUAGCAAGGUUAACCGAAUAGGGGAGCCGGAGGGAAACCGAGUCUUAAUUGGGCGUUAAGUUGCAGGGUAUAGACCCGAAACCCGGUGAUCUAGCCAUGGGCAGGUUGAAGGUUGGGUAACACUAACUGGAGGACCGAACCGACUAAUGUUGAAAAAUUAGCGGAUGACCUGUGGCUGGGGGUGAAAGGCCAAUCAAACCGGGAGAUAGCUGGUUCUCCCCGAAAGCUAUUUAGGUAGCGCCUCGUGAAUUCAUCUCCGGGGGUAGAGCACUGUUUCGGCUAGGGGGCCAUCCCGGCUUACCAACCCGAUGCAAACUGCGAAUACCGGAGAAUGUUAUCACGGGAGACACACGGCGGGUGCUAACGUCCGUCGUGAAGAGGGAAACAACCCAGACCGCCAGCUAAGGUCCCAAAGUCAUGGUUAAGUGGGAAACGAUGUGGGAAGGCCCAGACAGCCAGGAUGUUGGCUUAGAAGCAGCCAUCAUUUAAAGAAAGCGUAAUAGCUCACUGGUCGAGUCGGCCUGCGCGGAAGAUGUAACGGGGCUAAACCAUG
rnacentral:rRNA from 1 species